CUUAACAUAGAGCUAAAUUUGACCCUAAAAGCAUAGCAAUCUAGUAAGUGAGAUUGUAAGUCUCCCAUCUUUCAUGGUAUUGUGUGGAAACUUGACCUUUUUUCCUUUCAUGAGAGCUAGUGGCAUACUUGUUGAAUUGUCCAAGUUGAAGCCCUUCUCAUGGGGGAUGUCUUAGUUUAAGGAUCCAUGCUUGUGAAUGGAUGGUUGAGUGUUCUCCAAAGAAUGACUUAAUCAAUUAAAAAACACCACUAACA
rnacentral:lncRNA from 1 species